rnacentral:rRNA from 1 species
UUAAGCGACUAAGCGUACACGGUGGAUGCCCUGGCAGUCAGAGGCGAUGAAGGGCGUGCUAAUCUGCGAUAAGCGCCGGUAAGGUGAUAUGAACCGUUAUAACCGGCGAUACCCGAAUGGGGAAACCCAGUGUGACUCGUCACACUAUCAUUAACUGAAUCCAUAGGUUAAUGAGGCGAACCGGGGGGAACUGAAACAUCUAAGUACCCCGAGGAAAAGAAAUCAACCGAGAUUCCCCCAGUAGCGGCGAGCGAACGGGGAGGAGCCCAGAGCCUGAAUCAGCAUGUGUGUUAGUGGAAGCGUCUGGAAAGGCGCGCGAUACAGGGUGACAGCCCCGUACACAAAAGCGCAUGUGCUGUGAGCUCGAUGAGUAGGGCGGGACACGUGGUAUCCUGUCUGAAUAUGGGGGGACCAUCCUCCAAGGCUAAAUACUCCUGACUGACCGAUAGUGAACCAGUACCGUGAGGGAAAGGCGAAAAGAACCCCGGCGAGGGGAGUGAAAAAGAACCUGAAACCGUGUACGUACAAGCAGUGGGAGCACAGGUUUACCUGUGUGACUGCGUACCUUUUGUAUAAUGGGUCAGCGACUUAUAUUCUGUAGCAAGGUUAACCGAAUAGGGGAGCCGCAGGGAAACCGAGUCUUAAUUGGGCGUUAAGUUGCAGGGUAUAGACCCGAAACCCGGUGAUCUAGCCAUGGGCAGGUUGAAGGUUGGGUAACACUAACUGGAGGACCGAACCGACUAAUGUUGAAAAAUUAGCGGAUGACCUGUGGCUGGGGGGUGAAAGGCCAAUCAAACCGGGAGAUAGCUGGUUCUCCCCCGAAAGCUAUUUAGGUAGCGCCUCGUGAACUCAUCUCCGGGGGUAGAGCACUGUUUCGGCUAGGGGGCCAUCCCGGCUUACCAACCCGAUGCAAACUGCGAAUACCGGAGAAUGUUAUCACGGGAGACACACGGCGGGUGCUAACGUCCGUCGUGAAGAGGGAAACAACCCAGACCGCCAGCUAAGGUCCCAAAGUCAUGGUUAAGUGGGAAACGAUGUGGGAAGGCCCAGACAGCCAGGAUGUUGGCUUAGAAGCAGCCAUCAUUUAAAGAAAGCGUAAUAGCUCACUGGUCGAGUCGGCCUGCGCGGAAGAUGUAACGGGGCUAAACCAUGCACCGAAGCUGCGGCAGCGAACGUAUCACUUAAAGCGAUUCAGCGGGUUACGAUUGACGGAGCGAAGCGACGUCAAAGCGUAUACAAAGUCGAGUCGGUUUAAGGAUACGUUCGUUGGGUAGGGGAGCGUUCUGUAAGCCUGUGAAGGUGUGUCGUGAGGCAUGCUGGAGGUAUCAGAAGUGCGAAUGCUGACAUAAGUAACGAUAAAGCGGGUGAAAAGCCCGCUCGCCGGAAGACCAAGGGUUCCUGUCCAACGUUAAUCGGGGCAGGGUGAGUCGACCCCUAAGGCGAGGCCGAAAGGCGUAGUCGAUGGGAAACGGGUUAAUAUUCCCGUACUUGGUGUUACUGCGAAGGGGGGACGGAGAAGGCUAUGUUGGCCGGGCGACGGUUGUCCCGGUUUAAGCGUGUAGGCUGGUUUUCCAGGCAAAUCCGGAAAAUCAAGGCUGAGGCGUGACGACGAGGCACUACGGUGCUGAAGCAACAAAUGCCCUGCUUCCAGGAAAAGCCUCUAAGCAUCAGGUAACAUCAAAUCGUACCCCAAACCGACACAGGUGGUCAGGUAGAGAAUACCAAGGCGCUUGAGAGAACUCGGGUGAAGGAACUAGGCAAAAUGGUGCCGUAACUUCGGGAGAAGGCACGCUGACACGUAGGUGAAGUGAUUUACUCACGGAGCUGAAGUCAGUCGAAGAUACCAGCUGGCUGCAACUGUUUAUUAAAAACACAGCACUGUGCAAACACGAAAGUGGACGUAUACGGUGUGACGCCUGCCCGGUGCCGGAAGGUUAAUUGAUGGGGUCAGCGCAAGCGAAGCUCCUGAUCGAAGCCCCGGUAAACGGCGGCCGUAACUAUAACGGUCCUAAGGUAGCGAAAUUCCUUGUCGGGUAAGUUCCGACCUGCACGAAUGGCGUAAUGAUGGCCAGGCUGUCUCCACCCGAGACUCAGUGAAAUUGAACUCGCUGUGAAGAUGCAGUGUACCCGCGGCAAGACGGAAAGACCCCGUGAACCUUUACUAUAGCUUGACACUGAACAUUGAGCCUUGAUGUGUAGGAUAGGUGGGAGGCUUUGAAGUGUGGACGCCAGUCUGCAUGGAGCCGACCUUGAAAUACCACCCUUUAAUGUUUGAUGUUCUAACGUGGACCCGUAAUCCGGGUUGCGGACAGUGUCUGGUGGGUAGUUUGACUGGGGCGGUCUCCUCCUAAAGAGUAACGGAGGAGCACGAAGGUUGGCUAAUCCUGGUCGGACAUCAGGAGGUUAGUGCAAUGGCAUAAGCCAGCUUGACUGCGAGCGUGACGGCGCGAGCAGGUGCGAAAGCAGGUCAUAGUGAUCCGGUGGUUCUGAAUGGAAGGGCCAUCGCUCAACGGAUAAAAGGUACUCCGGGGAUAACAGGCUGAUACCGCCCAAGAGUUCAUAUCGACGGCGGUGUUUGGCACCUCGAUGUCGGCUCAUCACAUCCUGGGGCUGAAGUAGGUCCCAAGGGUAUGGCUGUUCGCCAUUUAAAGUGGUACGCGAGCUGGGUUUAGAACGUCGUGAGACAGUUCGGUCCCUAUCUGCCGUGGGCGCUGGAGAACUGAGGGGGGCUGCUCCUAGUACGAGAGGACCGGAGUGGACGCAUCACUGGUGUUCGGGUUGUCAUGCCAAUGGCACUGCCCGGUAGCUAAAUGCGGAAGAGAUAAGUGCUGAAAGCAUCUAAGCACGAAACUUGCCCCGAGAUGAGUUCUCCCUGAGACUUAGAGUCUCCUGAAGGAACGUUGAAGACGACGACGUUGAUAGGCCGGGUGUGUAAGCGCAGCGAUGCGUUGAGCUAACCGGUACUAAUGAACCGUGAGGCUUAACCUU